ACUGUGACAGAAUGGAACUCUGCUGUUAUGCUGGUCUCCAGGAACUGACUUCUGAUGAUCAUGGCAGAGCCAGACAAAGUCUAAUGACAAUGCAGCAUUGGACACAUGAUGACUGCAUUGCCUGGCUUCUGAAGAAAAACAGGUACAGGAUCAACCAUAGCCAAUAUACUCAGUCUGAAGACUGAACACUAAAGAGACUAGUUAGAGAGGCCAAGGCCAAGCAGGGGCCCUGAAGAAGCCUGAGCUAAAAGUUUAGCUGGAAGUAUCUGAGCAUUAAGCACAAAGGUAAAGAUGCAUAAACCUAAAAAACUAAGUGAACCAUGGCAGACAACUGACCAUUGUACUGCCAAACCUCAACGGACACGGGAAGUGUGGCAAAUCCAUGACCCUGAAUAACAUCAGGCCUAAAGAGACGUUACGUUUUGACAUGGACAAAUGUCUCAAAGGCCGAGGACAAUGCAAAAAGAGUCUUGUACAUGGAUCAAACCAUGACCAUUAAGUAGCCUGGGCCCUAACACUGGAGUUGUUUGGGUUUGGGAAAAUUCCUGAUAUGAAAGAGGUCCAGAUCAACAUAAGAAGUGUUGUGUACCUGGACAAAAUCCAGACCAUGAAGAAGCCCAGGGCUGAAUCAAGAUGAAAUUUGGACCUGAGCCAAUCUCAGAGCAUUACAAUGCCUGGGCACAAAAAGAUGGUAUAUGUCCCCAGGAAUAUGCUACAAAUGAAAGAGGCCCAGGUCCAAAUACUACAAGAGUAUUAUGAUUGGGCCAUUCCCUAACUCUGAGGGAGCCUAGGCCAAAAUGAAUAAUAGUAAAGGCCUGGCCUGACAUACAUCCCAGAAGAAGCCCAGGCCCAAAGCAAGAAAAAAGGUGGGCCUGGGUCAAUCCCUGAACUUGAAAAUGCUUUGGGUCUGGGACAAUUUCACAAAUGAAGAGGCCAUGUAAAACCACAAAAAAUAUGCCUGGAACAAACACUCUCCCUUGAGAUACCCGGGCCCAAAGCAAGAAAAAAGGUGGGCCUGGGUCAAUCCCUGAACUUGAAAAUGCUUUGGGUCUGGGACAAUUUCACAAAUGAAGAGGCCAUGUAAAACCACAAAAAAUAUGCCUGGAACAAACACUCUCCCUUGAGAUACCCGGGCCCAAAGCAAGAAGACAUGUGGGCCUGGGCUCACACCUUAACCAGAAGAAUCCCAGGCCCAAAGUAAUAGCAAUGAGGGCCUGGGCCAGUCCCUGAAACUAAAUAAGCCUGGGCCCCAAAGGAGGUGAUAUAUGGGCCUGGGCCAAUUUCACAAAUGAAGAAACCCAUGUAAAACCACAAAAGAAUAUGCCUAGAACAAACCCUCUCCCAUGAGAUGCCCCAGCCCAAAGCCAGAAGAUAUUUGGGCCUGGGUUGAACCCUUAAUCUAAGAAGCCCAGGCCCAAAGAAAUAGGAGAUGUGGGCCUGGGCAGUUUCUGAACUUAAACAUGCCUGGGCCCAAAAGAAGUGAUAGAUGGGCCUGGGACAACCCCACAAAAGAAAUGGUCCAGGUAAAACCACAAAAGGAAUAUACCUGGACCAAACCCUCUCCCCUGAGAUGCCCAGGCCCAAACCAAGAAGACAUGUGGGCCUGGGCUAAUCCCUUACCCUGAAUAAGCCCAGGCUCAAAGUAAUGAGAGAUGGGGGCCUGGGCCAGUCCCUGAAACUAAAGAUGCCUGGGUCCCAAAAGAGGUGAUAGAUAUGCCUGGGACAACCCUACAAAAGAAAUUGCCCAGGUAAAAGCACAAAAGGAAUAUACCUGCACCAAACCCUCUUCCUUGAGAUACCCAGGCCCAAACCAAGAAGACAUGUGGGCCUGGGCUAAUCCCUUACCAUAAAAAGCCCAAGCCCAAAGUAAUAGGACAUGUGGGCCUGGGCCAGACCCUGAACCUAAUGAUGCCUAGGCCCCAAAAGAGGUGAUAUAUGGGCCUGGGAAAAUCCCACAAAUGAAAGUGGCCAGGUAAAACCAAAAAGGGAAUAUGCCUGGACUAAACCCUCUCCCUUGAGAUGCCUGGGCCCAAAGCAAGAAGUCAUGUGGGCCUGGGCUAAUCCCUUAACCCAAAGAAGACCAGGCCCAGAGUAAUAAGAGAUGAGGCCCGGGGCCAGUUUCUGAACUUAAAGAUGCCUAGGCCCAAAAAGACUUGACAUAUGGGCCUGGGACAAUCCCACAAAUGAGAGAGGACCAGUUGAAACAAAGAGGACUUUGUUUGGACCAAACUCUCUCCCUUGAGAGGCCUGAGAACAAAGCAACUAGAAGUGAAGGCCUGGGCUAAUAUAUAACCCCAAAGAAUUAUGGACACAAAGCAAUAUAUGUGGACAUCAGGCAACACCUGAAAUGACAGAGGCUUAGGCCAAGUAGAAUAGGAGUGUGCCCAUCAAAAUUCAACCCCUGAUUCCCUGAAUAAUUACUAAACAG
rnacentral:lncRNA from 1 species